rnacentral:rRNA from 1 species
UACAGAGGUCUCAAGCGUUGUUCGGAUUCAUUGGGCGUAAAGGGUGUGUAGGUGGCGCGCUAAGUCGGGUGUGAAAUUUCGGAGCUUAACUCCGAAACUGCAUUCGAUACUGUGGUGCUCGAGGACUGGAGAGGAGACUGGAAUUCAUGGUGUAGCAGUGAAAUGCGUAGAGAUCAUGAGGAAGACCAGUGGCGAAGGCGGGUCUCUGGACAGUUCCUGACACUGAGGCACGAAGGCCAGGGGAGCAAACGGG